UACAGAGGGUGCGAGCGUUAAUCGGAAUUAUUGGGCGUAAAGCGCGCGUAGGCGGCUUUGCAAGUCGGGUGUGAAAUCCCCAGGCUUAACCUGGGAACUGCAUUCGAGACUGCAUUGCUAGAGUAUGGGAGAGGGAAGUGGAAUUUCCGGUGUAGCGGUGAAAUGCGUAGAUAUCGGAAGGAACAUCAGUGGCGAAAGCGACUUCCUGGACCAAUACUGACGCUCAUGUGCGAAAGCGUGGGGAGCAAACAGG
rnacentral:rRNA from 1 species